UUCUUCCCUUAAUUGACUACUGCUGUAUUAUUUGGGGUGAAUGUAAAAAUGAAGGGAUAACAAGAAUUUUAAAACUCCAAAAAAGGGCAGCAAGAUUAAUUCUAGAUGCAGAUCCUUUAUCCCCCUCAGCCCCCUUAUUUAAAAAAACUUGGGUGGAUGACAGUUGACAAUAGAAUAAAACACCACAAAUAUUUACUUCUAUAUAAAUGUAUGCGUAUGGAAGCACCAGUGUACCUAGUUCAAAAGUUUAAACUCAAAUCAGAUAAUAAUCCUUACUCCUUAAGAGGUGUCACUCAAGGUAAUCUGAUAGUUCCUAAGCCAAAAGCUGAACUAUUUUAGAAAUCCUUUGCUUAUUCUGGAUCAGUAUUAUGGAAUGGACUACCACACACAAUGCGUAAAGCUCAAAACACUUUUACUUUUAAGCAAAGUAUCAAGAAGUACCUAACACAACCCUGAUAAGAAAUGUUUGCUACAAUGUAUUUGUAUAUUUUUUAUUUUUUAUUUUCAUUUGAUUUUUUGACUACAUGUAUACAUCUUAAACAGCAUUAUAUCUUAUGUUAAUAACAAUACAUUGAACUACAUGAGUGUAAAUUAACUAUGUGUAAAUAUCUGUUUUGAUUGUAUUGUAAUUUGUAUGUGAGGGCCUCAGGGAAGAUUAGUUUAUUGUAACUAACUGAGUUUACCCUCUUUAAAUAAAGAAUUUAUUAUUAUUAUUAUUAUUAUUGAAAAUUGCUUGCUAUUGCACAAUACUGUGCAAUUGAAGAUUUCUUGCUAUUGCUGAUUACUGUGCAAUUGAAAAUGUCUUGCUAUUGCACAAUACUUAAUAUAAUAAUUUUGGAUCCUGAUUUGAACCAACUUGAAAACUGGGCCCAUAAUAAAAAAUCUAAGUACAAAUCAUGUAUAUGUUUAGAUUCAGCAUAUCAAAAAAGCCCAAGAAUUCAAUUUUUGUUAAAAUCAAACUUAGUUUAAUUUUGGACCCUUUGGACUUUAAUGUAG
rnacentral:lncRNA from 1 species